rnacentral:rRNA from 1 species
UACGGGGGGAGCAAGCGUUGUUCGGAUUUACUGGGCGUAAAGGGCGCGUAGGCGGCCACCGCAAGUCGACUGUGAAAUCUCCGGGCUUAACCCGGAAAGGUCAGCCGAUACUGCGGGGCUAGAGUGCAGGAAGGGGCAACUGGAAUUCUCGGUGUAGCGGUGAAAUGCGUAGAUAUCGAGAGGAACACCUGCGGCGAAGGCGGGUUGCUGGGCUGACACUGACGCUGAGGCGCGAAAGCUAGGGGAGCGAACGGGG